rnacentral:lncRNA from 1 species
CGGACUCAGCCCGCCUGCACCCAGGUGAAAUAAACAGCCUUGUUGCUCACACAAAGCCUGUUUGGUGGUCUCUUCACACAAACGUGCAUGAAAUUUGGUGCCAUGACUCGGAUUGGGGUACCUCCCUUGGGAGAUCAAUCCCCAGUCCUCCUGCUGUUUGCUCCAUGAGAAAGAUCCACCUAGGACCUCAGGUCCUCAGACUGACCAGCCCAAGGAACAUCUCACCAAUUUCAAAUCUGGAACGCGCAUGAAAAAAACAAACAAAAAAAUUUCUUUUGGUAGCAGAAUAAAAAAACAAAAAAAAGGACUUUUUCUUCUGGACUGAACUAUAUUUAAAUCUCAAAGGAUGGACAUCUCACAACCUUCGUACAGCAAGUACUGUGAGAGCUGCAUCUUGUCCCACUGGAUGGUCUUCAGAGACAAUAAUACAUAAUGGAGCUGUCAUCUCCUAUGAUAACAAUGCCUUCUUCUGGAUACCUCCUGAAGGACCUGCCUGAGGCUCUUUCACUGUUAGUUUUUUUUUAAUAAGUAGAAGGAUUACACUCUAAAAUAAUAAGUGUAGUAUAGUAAAUGUAUAAACCAGUAACAUAAUGGUUUAUUAUCAUUAUCAAGUAUUACAUACUGUACAAAAUUAUAUGUGCUACAAUUUUAUGUGACUGGCAGCACAGUAGGUUUGUUUAUACCAGCAUCACCACAAACACGUGAGUAAUAUGGCACACCAUGAUAUUCUGACAACCAUGACAUCACUAGGCCAGGGAAUUUUUUAGGUCCAUUAUCAUCAUAGGCGACCACAGCUGUAUAUGAGAUGUGGUCUGUCAUUGACUAAAAUCUCAUUAUGACUAUAC